UACGGGAGGCAGCAGUGGGGAAUAUUGGACAAUGGGCGAAAGCCUGAUGCAGCCAUGCCGCGUGAAUGAUGAAGGCCUUAGGGUUGUAAAGUUCUUUCACCGGGGAAGAUAAUGACUGUACCCGCAGAAGAAGCUCCGGCUAACUUC
rnacentral:rRNA from 1 species